UGGAAGUAAAAGUCGUAACAAGGUCUCCGUUGGUGAACCAGCGGAGGGAUCAUUACCGAGUUAUUCAACUCAUCAACCCUGUGAACAUACCUAAACGUUGCUUCGGCGGGAAUAGACGGCCCCGUGAAACGGGCCGCCCCCGCCAGAGGACCCUUAACUCUGUUUCUAUAAUGUUUCUUCUGAGUAAAACAAGCAAAUAAAUUAAAACUUUCAACAACGGAUCUCUUGGCUCUGGCAUCGAUGAAGAACGCAGCGAAAUGCGAUAAGUAAUGUGAAUUGCAGAAUUCAGUGAAUCAUCGAAUCUUUGAACGCACAUUGCGCCCGCCAGUAUUCUGGCGGGCAUGCCUGUUCGAGCGUCAUUACAACCCUCAGGCCCCCGGGCCUGGCGUUGGGGAUCGGCGGAGCCUCUCUGUGGGCACACGCCGUCCCCCAAAUACAGUGGCGGUCCCGCCGCAGCUUCCAUCGCGUAGUAGCUAACACCUCGCGACUGGAGAGCGGCGCGGCCACGCCGUAAAACACCCAACUCUUCUGAAGUUGACCUCGAAUCAGGUAGGAAUACCCGCUGAACUUAAGCAUAUCAAUAAGCGGAGGA
rnacentral:rRNA from 1 species